AAUGAACGCAGCAGGCAGUAUAAUGCUGCGUUCACGCCAUAUCGUAAUUACCGUAAUUUCGAGAUGACAGCACGUGACGUUCUACUCGGAGCUGUUCACGUCCUCGGGCUCGGACUCGGAAUUAUGCUUUUCUGUGGCAACACUAUCAACGCCUAAACAGAGCCUGCGGCGGUCAUGUGGCACAAGUCGUAGCUCUCAGAAAACUCCCAGUUCACAAGUUGUAAUUACGAGUUCUACGAGGAUGUGAACGCUUUUUACAAGUUGGAAUCUCGUAAUUACGGGAAUUCCGAUAUGGCGUGAACGCACCAUAAGCACACGUGACAUGGCAUUCCCGCAUCUGCGCACGCGCCCGCGCUCGCUCUCACCUCAUGCUUGUGGUUGAAUACAAAUGAUCAACAUAAUUAAUGGACAACUAGGCUAUAUCAGGGAAAACACAUCAGCGCAGUCCGGCGUAGAGAAAAGAAAAAGAAAAAGCCCAAGAUGAAGCCCGUGCAUCACUUUCAGUAUUCUCAGAGAACAGCCUGAUGUUACAGCAGUUCAUUUCAGUGAGAUCGAGGAAUCAUCCCAAAGGAAGCACUUCACUACCUGUAUGGAUAACUGAAGACUCAGGUCAUUUCCUGUUGAUACGGCAUCAUCACGGUAGUUCUCUUACUGAUUUUGA
rnacentral:lncRNA from 1 species